AUUGAACGCUAGCGGGAUGCUUUACACAUGCAAGUCGAACGGCAGCGCGGACUUCGGUCUGGCGGCGAGUGGCGAACGGGUGAGUAAUGUAUCGGAACGUGCCCAGUAGCGGGGGAUAACUACGCGAAAGCGUAGCUAAUACCGCAUACGCCCUACGGGGGAAAGCAGGGGAUCGUAAGACCUUGCACUAUUGGAGCGGCCGAUAUCGGAUUAGCUAGUUGGUGAGGUAACGGCUCACCAAGGCGACGAUCCGUAGCUGGUUUGAGAGGACGACCAGCCACACUGGGACUGAGACACGGCCCAGACUCCUACGGGAGGCAGCAGUGGGGAAUUUUGGACAAUGGGGGCAACCCUGAUCCAGCCAUCCCGCGUGUGCGAUGAAGGCCUUCGGGUUGUAAAGCACUUUUGGCAGGAAAGAAACGUAGCGGGCUAAUACCCCGUGGAACUGACGGUACCUGCAGAAUAAGCACCGGCUAACUACGUG
rnacentral:rRNA from 1 species